UAGUCACCUUGAGUCUUCGGGCACGGUGCAGGGGCUUAAGCAUCCUAAGGAUGUGAUCUAAGAACUACCCUCCCCAUACGUCAUAGCGUCUGUCCUCUAUGUUAAGAGCGGCUGUGGGGUAAAUGACCAUCUUCGGUCGCCUAGCGAUCACGACCUCAAUUGGUAGCGUCUGUUCCCUUAGUUAGGGCGGCUACCAAUUUCCUCUGUCUGCAUUUUUGAUGUCGGUCCGGGACUGUGGUUGGGUUACCUAGGCAACAUAACCGUACCAUCUGGCGUCUGUUCCCUAUGUUAAGGGCGGCUGGGAAGUACGAUCUGGUUCUGUCAGUCCGAAUGAUUUUGGUAAAAAACUCAAAUCCAGGAUGCGUCUGACUCACAUUGAGCGGCAUCCUGGUCUGCGUCUGACUCCUGUGAGCAGCAGUGUCUUUUUUCUUACCUAUGGUAGAGGUAUAAACUGCGAAACCUGAUGCGAAAAUGACUACGGACAGAUGGCUGCUUCUGGAGGAGAAGAUCUUGCGGGCACUAGUUGACGAACUCGCAUGCAGUGAGGAUGAUUCCUUCACUGCAUUCGACGACGCCAAAUGGUUAAAGGGUGUCAAGAUCAUCGGGUGUGGUAACGAGAAGACUCUAGGCUUUCUCAGAAACUGUAUCCGAGGAGUUGGCGAACUCUGUCCCAAUGCAAGAAUCGAAAUCGUCCCACUGGAUCAAGUACCUUUUCGUACGACGGUGAGAGUGUGGGUUCCUCCUCCUCUUUUGGAGGACGAAGCCACGGUAAUACUUAUAAAGCGUCAGAACAAGGAACUUGGCAUAGAGGACUGGACGAUCGAACGAGGACCCUCGAGGGACAAAGGAGAAGGCAAGGAUCUUUGGAUCAAAAUCGGUUCAGAUUCCCUCCGACUCCUGCGUUCUUCGCAAGGCGUCAUUUAGUACGGGCUAAACCAACUUCGGUUGAUCUUGCCCGCGGUGAAGCGCAGUGAUGAACCCAAGCGGCCUGAGAGUGGUACAGAUUAAUCUGCACCACUCCGAAGCAGCAUCGGACGAUUUGCUGCGCUUCAUGGAGAAGGAAGCUAUCCACGUGGCCUUAAUCCAAGAACCCUGGCUUGUAGCCAGUAAAGUUCGAGGCGUCCGGUCACGAAACUAUGUGCUCCUUUCUCCGACCCCUGAAGUUCUGGUGAUUUAACUGUAGUUGCACUAGAGCGAUAAGGGUUACCAACCCUAAUCAUAUCAUCUGCGUACCUACCAUACGAAGUAGUUAAUCCGCCCUCACGUGCUGUACGUACACUUGUAGACUGGUGUAACACAAGGGGCCAUGAUCUCAUCAUAGGAUGCGAUGCAAAUGCCCAUCAUACUCUGUGGGGGAGCUCGGACAUAAAUGACAGGGAUUACAAUUCUCUGUUCGAGCUUACUCCUUUGGAGGCAAAGAUGAAAAUGAUCUAACUAAGGAAAGUAUAGUAAACCGAGUAAGAGCAUUUUCAGUAGGAUCCCGAAUCAAAAGUACCCGUAUAUGUUCAAAAACUAAUUUUAAGUUGUUCAAUAGCGACAAUAUCAAUUACGAUUUUGUAGAAAGUUCAACAAGAAAGUCGAUCAGUGUUCCUGUUCUUAUUAAUAGACACUUACAAGCUGUUGAUCGAAUGGCUGAUUUGAUGGAAAUUGAUUUCUCAAAAUCAAUAGAUAAAAGUUUAAAAAGGAAUAUCCAGAAAAAUAAAAAUGAGUGCCAAAAUGCAUCAAAUAUGCUACCACGAAGUUUGAAUAUAUCAAACUCGAUAGAAUCUAUUGAUAGAAGUAUAAAAAGAGUGGACAGUGGUUACUUAGAAAUGAAACCAAUUACACUAGCUUCGAAUGGCAUAAUAUAUAAUGACAACAAUCCUGUAAAUGAUACUGGUGUAUUUUCACAAAAUCGGCAUAACUUUAAACGAAAAGACAUUAGUAUCGAUUCGACAGCAUUAACGGAUACGAGUGAUGCGCCUGUUUCAACUCCAAAAGUAACUAAUUACUUGUACGAUAAAGGUUUAAUCCCAAAAGAUGGCAAAAAUAAAGAACGCACAUCAAUACCGAUCAGCAAUUUAACACUAUCUUCAAAGUGCAGUAACAAAUAUUCUGACAAAUAUUCGGCUGAUGUCAUCAACUUACCCCAAGCAGAUGCGUCUUGUAUGAAGCAACAGGACCUAUAUUAUGCCAGCUUAGAUCUACCAAAAUGUUGCAAUGAAGUAAAUACUCGAUAUAGCUUCAAGGAAAGCUCAAGCGACACAAAUAUUGGAGAGGUUCAAAAUGAAUAUGCUAAGAUAAACUUUGUUAAACCCGAAACAUCAUGUAGUUUAAUAGAUGAAAAAAAAAAAAGUUUUCAAUAAAUAUAUAUCUUAAAAGAUA